AUAGCGUAUAUUAAAGUUGUUGCAGUUAAAAAGCUCGUAGUUGAACUUCAGGCCUGACCGGGUGGUCCGCCUAACGGCGUGUACUGUCUGGCCGGGCCUUACCUCUUGGUGAGCCGGCAUGCCCUUCACUGGGUGUGUCGGGGAACCAGGACCUUUACCUUGAGAAAAUUAGAGUGUUCAAAGCAGGCUUACGCCGGAAUACAUUAGCAUGGAAUAAUAAAAUAGGACGUGUGGUUCUAUUUUGUUGGUUUCUAGAGUCACCGUAAUGAUUAAUAGGGAUAGUUGGGGGCAUUGGUAUUGAGUCGCUAGAGGUGAAAUUCUUGGAUUGACUCAAGACCAACUAGUG
rnacentral:rRNA from 1 species